rnacentral:lncRNA from 1 species
GUGAGCUUUCUUCAGGAGGCAAGAAUAAUGCCAAGCCCGCAUCUUUACAGCCUGCUGUCCCAAGGAAUUAAAACAAUAACAGGAGAAUGGAAUAUCAGGACAGGGAAACAAGGAAAAACAUUAUCAUAGUGGUCCAGGCUCAGAACAUCUGAAAAUCAAGAUAAAACUCUCCUUCAUAAAAUGCCCGGAAAACUGAGUGCAUUUUAAGAAACCAAAAGAUAGCAGCAAAGUCAACAUGAAACUAAAGACAGACACUUGUCUGCAAACUAACAAUAAAAUUGAAAUGGAUCCUGAGAAGAAGGAAUAAGUAAAAAGCAUCAUGUGAAAGCAACUAAAUUCUGCAUCUUCCUUACCCAGUUGAGUCAGUAUUUCCUCUUUUCCUCAAAAGAAAAGCUACUUAAGAAAAAGUUCUCAGUGGUACUUUUGCUAUUUUCAGUCAGACUGCCAGUUAGGUAUAAAUGAAAAAUGUAUUUGUUCACGUACUAUAAAUUGGGAGAGAAAUUUGGGGAUGGGAUUGGUAACCUGACAAGAGAAAAUGAAUGGGAUGAGAGAGAAGCAUUGAAACUUAACAACAGACUAUUUGUCUUGUCGCUUUAUUGUCUCCAUAUGGAGCUAUUAAAAUAGAACAGCGCAGAAAC